GAGAUCCUCGCACGGAUGCAGAACAACCAGAAGAAGAGGUUGAAAGAACAAAAUGCUUUUCUUUCCCCGUCACGUGGGUCAAGAAAUGGGCUAAAUUCGACGCUAAUGUUGACGUGUCAUCCGGUGGCGUGUUCGUGUCAGUGUCUGGCGGCAGUUCAGGAGCGUUGUUAAGGUCACCUCACCCCGUCUCAUACCCAAGUAACAAGAUUGUUUGUUGCAACAUCAAACCAUCUAGUGGCGGGGGAGCCUCACGAAAAGCUUCUUUUGCCACAGCCGGGAAAGACCGCUCUGGAGACGUGACGAGGAAGAAGGUACCAUGCGAAGUGUUGCUGACUUGCCAGGGAGAACAACGUUUCAAGGAUUAUCUUUUUGAGUGCAGUGGUGCGGUAGCUGUUGAGCUGGUCGAGGCUGUCAAGAAGAUCAAAACGGGAGACAGUUCUCA